UACGGUGGGGGCAAGCGUUGUUCGGAAUUACUGGGCGUAAAGGGCUCGUAGGCGGCCAACUAAGUCGGAUGUGAAAUCCCCAGGCUCAACCUGGGAACUGCAUCCGAUACUGGAUGGCUUGAAUUCGGGAGAGGGAUGCAGAAUUCCAGGUGUAGCGGUGAAAUGCGUAGAUAUCUGGAGGAAUACCGGUGGCGAAGGCGGCAUCCUGGACCGACAUUGACGCUGAUGAGCGAAAGCUAGGGGAGCAAACGGG
rnacentral:rRNA from 1 species